rnacentral:rRNA from 1 species
CGUAGGGUGCAAGCGUUAAUCGGAAUUACUGGGCGUAAAGCGUGCGCAGGCGGUUAUGUAAGACAGUUGUGAAAUCCCCGGGCUCAACCUGGGAACUGCAUCUGUGACUGCAUAGCUAGAGUACGGUAGAGGGGGAUGGAAUUCCGCGUGUAGCAGUGAAAUGCGUAGAUAUGCGGAGGAACACCGAUGGCGAAGGCAAUCCCCUGGACCUGUACUGACGCUCAUGCACGAAAGCGUGGGGAGCAAACAGGGUUAGAUACCCUGGUAGUCCACGCCCUAAACGAUGUCAACUGGUUGUUGGGUCUUCACUGACUCAGUAACGAAGCUAACGCGUGAAGUUGACCGCCUGGGGAGUACGGCCGCAAGGUUG